rnacentral:tRNA from 1 species
GCAGGAGUAGCCAAGUGGCUAAGGCGAUCGGCUGCAGACCGAUUAUUCGGGGGUUCGAAUCCCCCCUCCUGCUCCA